UUUUUUUUCUUUCCCUACUCACAGCUUUGCAACAUACCCCCUUAUUUUUAAAGUACUUGCUUUGUCUAAAACUUGGUCUGUGGCAUGAUGGUCUUUUUCUGUCUGCUGCCUGCUUCCCCCCAACCCUUGAGCUUGGUGAUGCUGUUUUGGCCAUGUAGUAUAUUAUUUUAGGAUCUGAAUAAUUUCCUAAGGACUGUUUUGUGGUAAUAUUUUCACUCUUCACUGUGUUACAAAACUCUGUAGUUGGUUGUCAGACUCUUAUAUCAUUGGUGUUGAGUGACCUUUAGAAAUGUUUUCACGCAGGUGACAGCGUUAUGCACCAUACAGCUGCCCUGUCCUCAGACAUGUAACGUCAAUGGAGUGCUUAGGGGAAAAUGAAAAACGUUAGGGGUUACACCCUGGAAGCUCAUUCUUCCAGAGUUGGCUUUGGCAAAGUAGCUAAGUGAAGUUUCCUUCAACUGAGAGCUCUUGUUUGCUUUGACUGUUUCAGGUAACGGUAGGGGUGCUAGCAGGUCAGGCAAGAACCACGGGUCACAGCAAGCAGCUUGCAAAAUACCCUCUUCAGAUGGAGCCUGGGAGGAGUUUGCCACUGGAUUUUGUUUUAGAAAGAUAUCCCUUGGUUUUGUAAGAUAAAGUGAAACUAAAACAUAAACACCUGGCAGAGGUUAAGAAAGGACGGUAUGUCCAGUGGACAAGGGAUAUGGAUGGAAAAAGGAAAUUAAGGUGGAUGUAUAGAUUGAGACCCAAGUUUAUAAAUUGAUCAAUAGGAGUGGGGAAUACUGGAGAAGUAACAGAAUUAGGAUGUGAGAAUUCAGCAUCAUAUUUGAACAUGAUGUAUUUCAAGAGUUUCUCAUUUAGCAGCAUUCCGGACACCUUUGCUCAACUCCUGAAGACUUUUUGCAGAUGGUGAGGCUGUCUAAAAUGAGAUUAUUAAGUAAACAUGAAGAGCAUUUAUGUUCUGCUGUCUCCUCCUCGAAGACAGAAGGUACCUGGCUAAGGAGCCUGGAUUGUUGGGAACAUAAAGGGGAAGAGCAGCAAGCUGCUAAGUGACUCCUGGUGUUCAUCUGACCCUGUGCCAGGGACUCCCACCCAUCAGUUCCUGAUGUCAUGCAAUGGAGACAGUAAGAAGAAGUAAGGACUCUGCAAAACUGAGAACAGGAGAGGGGAGAGAAUGCAGCUCACCUGGACUGGUGCUUUGUGAGAGUUGCUUAGCAGAUGCAAACAUGCUGGCCACAGAUUCUAGAAACUAAACCAGAGACAAUUAGAAAUAGCCGAAGGAUCUGGGAGCCUGAGUAAUCACUGAAUUGCUCAUGGAAUGGAUGUAACAGCUUGACAGACUCUCCAAAACUUGGGAAAGAAAAACCACACAUAGUGGGAGUUAUUUAUUGUCAUAUGAUCAAAAUAACCAAAUACUGUCGGCAAGAUUUCCCCAGAGAAAUUCCAAGCCCAGCUCACCUGCACACUGCGACCUGGCCCACUUCCAGGAGGUUGCCUUGAAGAUUCCUUCCACAAGGGAUGGAAGAAGAGCCAGCCAGGAGAGCAGA